rnacentral:rRNA from 1 species
GUGCCAGCAGCCGCGGUAAUACGGAGGGUGCGAGCGUUGUUCGGAAUCACUGGGCGUAAAGCGCGUGUAGGCGGCCUUUUAAGUCUGGUGUGAAAGCCCGGGGCUCACCCCCGGAAGUGCACUGGAAACUGGAAGGCUUGAGUACCGGAGAGGAGGGUGGAAUUCCUGGUGUAGCGGUGAAAUGCGUAGAUAUCAGGAGGAACACCGGUGGCGAAGGCGGCCCUCUGGACGGAUACUGACGCUGAGACGCGAAAGCGUGGGGAGCAAACAGGAUUAGAUACCCUUGUAGUCC